rnacentral:rRNA from 1 species
UACAGAGGCCUCGAGCGUUAGGCGGAAUCACUGGGCUUAAAGCGUGUGUAGGUGGAGUUCUAAGUACCUUGUGAAAUCCCACGGCUCAACCGUGGAACUGCUGGGUAUACUGGUUCUCUUGAGGUACCUAGGGGCGAGCGGAACAAGUGGUGGAGCGGUGAAAUGCGUAGAUAUCACUUGGAACGCCAACGGUGAAAACAGCUCGCUGGGGGUAUCCUGACACUGAGACGCGAAAGCGUGGGGAGCAAACAGGG